rnacentral:misc_RNA from 1 species
GCAAACUUGGUCAUUUAGAGGAAGUAAAAGUCGUAACAAGGUUUCCGUAGGUGAACCUGCGGAAGGAUCAUUAACGCAUCCCGUGGCGGGUGACGGCGAGCCCUGCUCCGCCCCGGUAGGGGUGUGCAGCGGGCCGCGUCCCCGUCCCAACCUUUCACAAACCCCACGUGCACGUUUGCGGGAGUAAGGGGGCUCUCCGCCCCCCGAAACCGCUUCACAAACACUUGCAAACCGAGAAUGAUACCGAGCGACCUCUGAGUCGUGUGAAAACUGAAACAACUUUCAACAACGGAUCUCUUGGCUCUCGCAUCGAUGAAGAACGCAGC